CCGACCGGGAAGGGCGCUCUGGCCGCCGGGCUGCGGCGGACCCGGAAGUGCUCGUCCGCAGUCUCUGCCCGGCGCCCCGGAUGGGGAAGGAGGCGGGCGGCCGCCCUGCCCCGGCCGCGCAGCCCAGGAACGUAGCUCUGUUGUCCUGCCUCAGAGAAGAAGUUCAUCCUUGCAGACCCAGCCUGGGUUGCUGCCUUUGAAAACGGGAACGGGUCGGUAGAGUAUCAGCCACAGAUCAUCAUGGCAUUUCCAGGGAGGUCUAACUUGAAAGCUUCCUAAAGCACGGGAACCCAUGGACUUGGCCGAGUGAGGGAGUCGAUAAUGUGUGCCCAGCCUGUGACUAACACCGAGGAGGUCAGGUGGCAGAAGGUCUUAUAUGAACGACAGCCCUUCCCUGAUAACUACGUGGACCGCAGGUUCUUGGAAGAGCUCCGGAAGAACAUCUAUGCCCGCAAGUACCAGUACUGGGCGGUGGUGUUUGAGUCCAGCGUGGUGGUCCAGCAGCUGUGCAGCGUCUGUGUUUUUGUGGUUAUUUGGUGGUACAUGGACGAGGGUCUUCUGGCACCCCAUUGGCUGUUUGGGACUGGCCUGGCCUCUUCACUGGUGGGGUACAUUUUGUUCGAUCUCGUUGAUGGAGGUGAAGGACGGAAGAAGAGUGGGCGGACCCGGUGGGCUGACUUGAAGAGCGCUCUUGUCUUCAUUACCUUCACGUAUGGGUUUUCACCAGUCCUGAAGACCCUAACCGAGUCGGUCAGCACUGACACCAUCUACGCCAUGGCGGUCUUCAUGCUCCUGGGCCACCUCAUCUUCUUUGACUACGGUGCCAACGCUGCCAUUGUGUCCAGCACACUGUCCUUGAACAUGGCCAUCUUUGCUUCUGUGUGCCUGGCCUCACGCCUUCCGCGGUCUCUGCAUGCCUUCAUCAUGGUGACAUUUGCCAUCCAGAUGUUUGCCCUGUGGCCCAUGUUGCAGAAGAAGCUGAAGGCUUGUACUCCCCGCAGUUACGUGGGGGUCACGCUGCUGUUUGCACUGUCCGCCCUGGGGGGCCUGCUGUCCAUUAGUGUGGUGGGAGCCAUACUCUUUGCCCUUCUGCUGGUUUCCAUCUCAUGUCUCUGCCCUUUCUACCUCAUUCGCCUGCAGCUUUUUAAGGAGAACAUUCACGGGCCUUGGGAUGAAGCUGAAAUCAAAGAAGACUUGUCCAGGUUCCUCAGCUAACUUAGGGUCCACCGUCAGAUUACUAAAGCAAGCUAAGGGACGAAUCUGCUAACAGAUUUGAAGCAAAAGUUCUACUCGAAGCAGCAGUGGCUGAGAGAACAGAGAUGAAAAGGAAAGCUAACCGGAGCGUGGACGGGGAAGCACAUUUAAUGGAGCUACAAAAUGGGCGCUGACAAGGCAAGCACAUUCAAACUGUAGAAUCAAGUCCAGGAAGGUGUCUUACCAGUCAACAUAAGCUGCGUAACACUGUCUAAAGUAAGUUCAUGCUUGAGGUUUCAACAAUGUGAUCAAGUACCAAGCACAUUUUAGAAAGAUGAAUUGGAGAAGACCUUCCUUAUC